AUUGAACGCUGGCGGCAUGCCUAACACAUGCAAGUCGAACGGCAGCACAGUGCGUAGCAAUACGUAUGGGUGGCGAGUGGCGGACGGGUGAGGAAUGCAUCGGAAUCUACCCAGUAGCGGGGGAUAACCUGGGGAAACUCAGGCUAAUACCGCAUACGACCUAUGGGUGAAAGCGGGGGACCGUAAGGCCUCGCACUAUUGGAUGAGCCGAUGCCGGAUUAGCUAGUUGGUAGGGUAACGGCCUACCAAGGCGACGAUCCGUAGCUGGUCUGAGAGGACGAUCAGCCACACCGGAACUGAGACACGGUCCGGACUCCUACGGAGGCAGCAGUGGGGAAUAUUGGAACAAGUGGGGAAACCCUGAUCCAGCAAUGCCGCGUGUGUGAAGAA
rnacentral:rRNA from 1 species